rnacentral:rRNA from 1 species
GACACAGGUGGUCAGGUAGAGAAUACCAAGGCGCUUGAGAGAACUCGGGUGAAGGAACUAGGCAAAAUGGUGCCGUAACUUCGGGAGAAGGCACGCUGACACGUAGGUGAAGUGAUUUACUCAUGGAGCUGAAGUCAGUCGAAGAUACCAGCUGGCUGCAACUGUUUAUUAAAAACACAGCACUGUGCAAACACGAAAGUGGACGUAUACGGUGUGACGCCUGCCCGGUGCCGGAAGGUUAAUUGAUGGGGUCAGCGCAAGCGAAGCUCCUGAUCGAAGCCCCGGUAAACGGCGGCCGUAACUAUAACGGUCCUAAGGUAGCGAAAUUCCUUGUCGGGUAAGUUCCGACCUGCACGAAUGGCGUAAUGAUGGCCAGGCUGUCUCCACCCGAGACUCAGUGAAAUUGAACUCGCUGUGAAGAUGCAGUGUACCCGCGGCAAGACGGAAAGACCCCGUGAACCUUUACUAUAGCUUGACACUGAACAUUGAGCCUUGAUGUGUAGGAUAGGUGGGAGGCUUUGAAGUGUGGACGCCAGUCUGCAUGGAGCCGACCUUGAAAUACCACCCUUUAAUGUUUGAUGUUCUAACGUGGACCCGUAAUCCGGGUUGCGGACAGUGUCUGGUGGGUAGUUUGACUGGGGCGGUCUCCUCCUAAAGAGUAACGGAGGAGCACGAAGGUUGGCUAAUCCUGGUCGGACAUCAGGAGGUUAGUGCAAUGGCAUAAGCCAGCUUGACUGCGAGCGUGACGGCGCGAGCAGGUGCGAAAGCAGGUCAUAGUGAUCCGGUGGUUCUGAAUGGAAGGGCCAUCGCUCAACGGAUAAAAGGUACUCCGGGGAUAACAGGCUGAUACCGCCCAAGAGUUCAUAUCGACGGCGGUGUUUGGCACCUCGAUGUCGGCUCAUCACAUCCUGGGGCUGAAGUAGGUCCCAAGGGUAUGGCUGUUCGCCAUUUAAAGUGGUACGCGAGCUGGGUUUAGAACGUCGUGAGACAGUUCGGUCCCUAUCUGCCGUGGGCGCUGGAGAACUGAGGGGGGCUGCUCCUAGUACGAGAGGACCGGAGUGGACGCAUCACUGGUGUUCGGGUUGUCAUGCCAAUGGCACUGCCCGGUAGCUAAAUGCGGAAGAGAUAAGUGCUGAAAGCAUCUAAGCACGAAACUUGCCCCGAGAUGAGUUCUCCCUGAGACUUAGAGUCUCCUGAAGGAACGUUGAAGACGACGACGUUGAUAGGCCGGGUGUGUAAGCGCAGCGAUGCGUUGAGCUAACCGGUACUAAUGAACCGUGAGGCUUAACCUUACA